rnacentral:rRNA from 1 species
CACUGGAACUGAGACACGGUCCAGACUCCUACGGGAGGCAGCAGUGAGGAAUAUUGGUCAAUGGCCGGAAGGCUGAACCAGCCAUGCCGCGUGAAGGUCAGUGCCCUAUGGGCGUUAAACUUCUUUUGUGCGGGAGCAAUAAGGUCCACGUGUGGACCGACGAGAGUACCGUACGAAUAAGCAUCGGCUAACUCCGUGCCAGCAGCCGCGGUAAUACGGGGGAUGCAAGCGUUAUCCGGAUUUAUUGGGUUUAAAGGGUGCGUAGGCUGUAAGGUAAGUCAGCGGUGAAAUGCCCCCGCUCAACGGGGGAAGUGCCAUUGAUACUGCCUUGCUGGAAUGCGGAUGCCGUGGGAGGAAUGUGUGGUGUAGCGGUGAAAUGCAUAGAUAUCACACAGAACACCGAUUGCGAAGGCAUCUCACGAAUCCGCUAUUGACGCUGAUGCACGAAAGCGUGGGUAUCAAACAGGAUUAGAUACCCUGGUAGUCCACGCUGUAAACGAUGAUGACU